CUAGAAUAAGCAUUGUGAGUUUGAGUGUGAGUUUCUUCUUCAGAACCAGCAGCCAGGGGACUGGUUGGCUGAUUGUAGGAAAGGGCAUUGAAACAGAGGGGAUUAGGGUAUUGAGCUAUAUUAAAGAACAAUUGAAGAUGUUGAAUGUUAAAGAAAAAAAGUCCAGUCUUCAGAAAGACAGAGAAGGUUACUAAAAAGUUAACAGGAAGGGACGAUGCCAUUAACGUAAAGGUUUACAUCCAAAGACACAGAAGAUCAAGGCUUCCAAGGGCCCUUCAGAAUGCCGUGGUAACAUCAACCCUAGUGACCUGAAAUUGUCGAGCUAAAUCCCACUGGAAAAUUCUCAUCAUAUUUCAAGAGAGCCCUUGGACUUUUGUUAGGAUGGACUUAACUCUCAUCUUUGAAAAAAGACAGUGUUCCCAUGGUGAUGAGGAUGACAUCAUCGGGACUGGUUCCUGCCGUGAAUACAGUCCCAUUGGUCACCACGGGAAUAGAUGGGAUAAGAGAUAACAGGAUUUUCUGUACAAACACAGUCUACCACUCCCUUAAAGGACCCCAAGAAGAUAUGGAAUUGAUGCAUCAUCCCAGAAGCACUCUAAAGACUACACAGCAGGGCUUUCCAGCAGCCACAUGAACGUCCUAUAAAGCCUCUCUUCACACCUCGGUCACACAAAGGUGGGAAAGACUCAGUGCUGUCCUGAAGACUGUCCAGUUCCUGAAAUCCAUAUGUUCACUGGAUCUUUAUGUGUACAACAUUCUUCUUUAGCCCUCACUGGCGAGCAUCCUCUCAUGCCAGUGUCUCCACUCUUAACUACUCUCCCCUCCUCCCUCCUGGAAUCUUGGAGGAUUUCUGAGAGUCUACCAUCAUUGCAACACAUUUCUCCUCCGUUAUAGCAUCAACCAUGCCACACUUUCCAUCCCAACUGCUAGCAAUAGACACUUGCAUGUAAUAAAAAAAAUUAAUUGAAUUAAUUAAGAGAAAAACAGACAUAUCAAGGGGUUGCUGUGAGGGACACUAUAUUGUCUCUUUUCAUAUAUAUGUAUAUAUGUAAUGUUGCUGUGCUUUUUUAAUUUAAAUGUUAAUUUUUUAUUUAUUUUUAUUUAUUUAUUAUUAUUAUUUUUUUUUUUGAGACGGAGUCUGGCUCGUCACCCAGGCUAGAGUGAAGUGGUGCGAUCUCUGCUCACUGCAAGCUCUGCCUCCCGGGUUCACGCCAUUCUCCUGCCUCAGCCUCUCGAGUAGCUGGGACUACAGGCGCCCGCCGCCAUGCCCGGCUAAUUUCUUGCAUUUUUAGUAGAGACGGGGUUUCACCUUGUUAGCCAGAGUGGCCUCAAUCUCCUGACCUCGUGAUCCGCCCACCUCAGCCUCCCAAAGUGCUGGGAUUACAGGCGUGAGCCACCGCGCCCAGCCAAAUGUUAACUUUUUUAAUGCUGCUAUUUUGAUAUCCACACUAGAAACUAAAAAAAAAAAAAAAAAAAAAAAUAGAAUUUCAGAGACUUAAGAUUCCCAAAGCCAUAUCAUGAUUAAAUGGAAGAAAGGGAACUCAAAUCCAAGCUGACCCAGACUAG
ensembl:lincRNA